UUUACACAAGUACAUAGGUUCAAGCUCUCCUUUAGUGAGUACGAAGUGAAUGAUUUAGUACAAAUGACAUUAGGAAAUAUUGUGGGAGGAUGAUCUCGUAAUCACGAAACUUCUAAGUAUCGGAGUGUGGUGUCGUCUUGACUUGCCUUAUCUGUCUCAUAGGUAGAUGUGGCAUCUUCCCUGGAAGUACUCUUCCUCCAUCCAGGGGUGGUAUCUUUAACUGGUGGAGAUGCACAAGGUAAUGUAUCAAUUUCACUUGAAGCUUACUUGUAGUUUCAGGCUUGGUCAAGCGCGAUACAAACCAUGUAGUAGGAGUCCCCCAAGUCGCCGAGCUAGGGGGUCUGCUGAAAGAGUUGACAGACAAGGUAAGCAAUCAGAGCUCCGACUGAUUGUUCACCUUCUCCCCAUCUUGCAGCAGCAUGAAGGAUAAAGAGAAGAAAAAUGAGAAGAGAUGAUAUGAG
rnacentral:lncRNA from 1 species